UACGGGGGGGGCGAGCGUUGUUCGGAAUUACUGGGCGUAAAGGGCUCGUAGGUGGCCAACUAAGUCAGACGUGAAAUCCCUCGGCUUAACCGGGGAACUGCGUCUGAUACUGGAUGGCUUGAGUUCGGGAGAGGGAUGCGGAAUUCCAGGUGUAGCGGUGAAAUGCGUAGAUAUCUGGAGGAACACCGGUGGCGAAGGCGGCAUCCUGGACCAACACUGACACUGAGGAGCGAAAGCCAGGGGAGCAAACGGG
rnacentral:rRNA from 1 species